UUGGAUACAUUUGGUUUCAGAAUAUUUUAUAUUAUCUUCUCAGUUGUGUAUGAAUUAACUGUAUAAUGAAUUAUUUAGGCCAGGUGCAGUGGCUCUCGCCUGUAUUCCCAGCACUUUGGGAGGCCGAGGUGGGCAGAUCAUCUGAGGUCAGGAGUUCGAGACCAGCCUAGCCAACAUGGUGAAACCCCAUCUCUUCUAAAAAUACAAAAAUUAGCCAGGUGUGGUGGCACAUGCUUAUAAUCCCAGAUACUUGGAAAGCUGGGGCAGGAGAAUCGCUUGAACCCGGGAGGCAUAGGUGGCAGUGAGCCGAGAUCAUGUCACUGCACUCCAGCCUGGGCGACAAGAACGAAACUCCGUCUCAAAAAAAAAGAGAGAAAUUGUUUAGAAUGUAUUCAAUAAGUACUUUUAUAUAAUAGUAUCUUUUUUUUUUUUUUUCCAGGGCUGGAGUGCAAUGUGAGACUCCGUCUCCAAAAAAAAAAGGAACACACAGACACACACAUACUCACAUUUAAUAUCAAGUGCCAACAAGGCAGUGGGGAUACAAAAUGGAAUAGACACUUUAGAAAUACUUUGACAGUUUCUAAUUAAAACCGGCCGGCUGUGGUGGUUAAUGCCUGUAAUCCCAGCACUUUGGUGGGCUGAGGCAGGAGGAUCACUUGAGCUCAGUUCGAGACCAGCCUGGCCAACAUGGCAAAACCCCAUCUCUACUAACAGUACAAAAACUAGCCAAGCAACACACCUGUAAUCCCAACUACUGUGGAGUCUGAGGUGGCAGAAUCGCUUGAACCCAAGAAGCGGAUGUUUCAGUGAGCAGAGAUGGUGCCACUGCACCCAGCCUGGGUGACAAAGCAAGACUCCAUCUCAAUAAAUAAAAAAUAAACACAACGAGGACUGGUG
rnacentral:lncRNA from 10 species